rnacentral:rRNA from 1 species
UACGAAGGAUGCUAGCGUUACUCGGAAUUACUGGGCGUAAAGAAUGCGUAGGCGGAUAAUUAAGUUGAUAGUGUAAUCCCCAAGCUUAACUUAGGAAUUGCUAUCAAAACUGAUUUUCUAGAAUACGGGAGAGAGUAAGGGAAUUCUUGGUGUAGGGGUAAAAUCCGUAGAUAUCAGGAGGAAGACCGGAAGCGAAAGCGCUUACUUGGACCGUUAUUGACGCUGAUGCAUGAAAGCGUGGGGAGCAAACAGG